AGUAUAUAUAUUAAAUGGAGGGGGAUUAAAGUACUGGAAAGGGAAAGAUAGAAUGCCGCCAUAUUGGAAGGUAAACUCAUGCGAUCUGCGCAGGAACCUACCGUUGACAGUAAACAGCUGUUCGUGAUUUUGUAAACAUUUUAGCUGUUUAUGUGCUGUUUUUUUGGUGUUUGGUAUUUUGAAUCGUGUUUAGCGACAGCUUAAUUUUCAGUCAAAUUGUAGAAUUCGUUUCGAUAUUCGUCUGGUUUUCGUGCUGUAGAAGUUUUACAAAGUCUACCAUGGGGAAGAAGUAUUGUGCCAUUAUCCAACAAAAGUGUACGUCACAACGACAUAAAUUUAAUAAACUCAUUUUAUUUCACAAAUAUUGUAUGUUAAUUGCAUUAACUAAUGACUUCAGUCUAAAACGUGUGUGUCUUCGUGUAAUAAAAUAAAUAUUAGCUAUCAAA